UGUUGUGAUUAGAUAACAGGAGUGAUCUGGUUUUUUUUAUUUUUAUAUCAAAAACACACAAAGUAAAACAAACUUAAAGAUUAUAAACCAAUAAUAGCUUAAACCUGUGAAGACCCUUGGUUGCCAUGAAGACAAUUCUAUUCCAUCCAAGCCAGUACUUCGUGAAAACAAAGGAAGAAAGUGGCACAAAAGGUAUGGCUAAUUCAUAUCAGCUCUGAUGAACAGUCAUCUAGAUUUGAAUUGUCAGCUUGCUUUCUCUCCACAGAUGCUGCCUGGCUUGCUGUGAUCUCCAGCAUUUUUUGUUUUCAGCAUCUGCAAUAAUUUGCUCUUGCAACAUAAUUGAAAUUCUGUUCCAUUUCUGAUAUUCCCCACUGAUUAUCAUCUCACCCGUUUGAUACGGACAUGGCAGUGAUAGUUUCCUUAUAGCUCUACUGUACAAGUGGAGAUAGCACUGAAGGAGAGAACAUUUACAAAGUUGUCAGCAAGGCCCACAAGAAGAGGAAUCUUCAACAGCUGCUGCACAGACUCCAGAGGGACAAGCAGAAGGUCAAGAUCCACCAAGGAAGUGCAGACAAACAACCAGACCUCGCAGAUACCGAUUUCACUGUCAUUUUCUACAGCUCCUGGAAACACAAUGCAGGCACAAACUGACAAUGUCCCCAGCCAUCACCACUGAACUGCAUCAUCUGCUGGAGCAACAUCAGAAUGAAUGGGUAGCUGUCAUCAUUACUGCUCCAGUGAAAAUUUAUGACCCAGCACAUUUCAAGAAGCAACUGUGUGGCAUCUGUACAAAACAGUGACCUCUUUUGACCUCUCUCCAUGUGGUGGCAGCCACUUUGUCUCAUUGCGCAGUUAACUUUGAAUCAAAGAUGGCACGGCGACAGUGAAGAGUGUUGGUGCGACCCCACUGGAUGAUUUGAACCCAGCUCAUAAUCCCAUUGACCAAAGGCCACAGAACAUUCUGGAAGGUUUCAGUAUGAGGAGGGACACACCUGGACAUUAGCCCCCUCAGUGGGGACUCAGUGAAGACUCAGCGAAUAUGUGACCUCGCCAACAGCAGAGCCCUAACUACUUGUAGAAAGAGAGAGACACUCAGAGAGAGAGUGAGAGGAGAGAGGAUAUGCCCUGACCUGACCUGCAAGAACCAGCUUCAUGGAAGAGAGCCAAUCCUAUGUCAGACACGAAGGAAAUUCCAAUGGCCCAGCUCAAGCACAUGAAUCAUUGCAGCAGGAUGAAGGCAAAUCACCAUUUAUGACAUUGUGUGCAGACAAUCAUGAGACUGAAUGAAUGAAAGAUUUUUAUUGUCAUGUGUAUUUUAUAAUGAAAUACAAUGAUAAGCUUCCACUGUUGCCAUGGCCUGGCACUAUUUUGAAUAGUUUAAGAAUAAUAAAUAAAAAUAAAAUGAUAUAGCCGAAAGACAGUUCAUAAUCCUACUGCCAACGCCAGUGCCAAACCCAACCAACAUCGAAGUCGCUACUCCUCAGGUGCCAUCUUUGCCUGCUGGACCUACCUCACUGACGUCACCUCCGCCAAUGUAGCAGCUGAUGCUGGAUUCCGUGCUCGCUCCUCCGCCAACCACCGCCCCUCCACCAUCAGCCAGAGUCCCACUCCUGGUUCAUCAGCCACCUCGCUGCUGCCCUCCAGCAUUCUGCUGGCUCACCACACUCUGGACCCUGACAGAGUCACCAUUCUACCGCCUUCUGCCUUUCUCAUUGAUCUGGUCACUGCUGAGGCUGCCAUGACCGACUGCUCCCCAAAAGUUUUGGAUCAUGAACUCAAAAGUUUGAUGCAAAAAUGGGAAUGCAUUUAUACAAAAUAUUCACACAAGCACUCCAUUUCUCUGGUCAGCAUGUUGCAUUGACUCAUCAACAGAGGAGCAGGAGACGCUACUGAUAGAUUGAAAAU